UACGUAGGGUGCAAGCGUUAAUCGGAAUGACUGGGCGUAAGGGUGUGUAGGCGGUCUGUUAAGUCGGAUGUGAAAUCCCCGGGCUCAACCUGGGAACUGCAUUGGAAACUGGCAGGCUAGAGUACGUAAGAGGGGGGUGGAAUUCCACGUGUAGCAGUGAAAUGCGUAGAGAUGUGGAGGAACACCGAUGGCGAAGGCAACCCCCUGGGACGAUACUGACGCUGAGGCACGAAAGCGUGGGGAGCAAACAGG
rnacentral:rRNA from 1 species